rnacentral:pre_miRNA from 1 species
UUUUAUGCACGAGCAAACGAAGUGGUUUCUUCAGAUGGAAUCUACUCCUGGUGAAGACCCUGUGAA